rnacentral:rRNA from 1 species
GAUGAACGCUGGCGGCGUGCCUAACACAUGCAAGUCGAGCGAUUUACUUCGGUAAAGAGCGGCGGACGGGUGAGUAACGCGUGGGUAACCUGCCCUAUACACACGGAUAACAUACCGAAAGGUAUGCUAAUACGAGAUAAUAUAAGAGAUUCACAUGGAUUUCUUAUCAAAGCUGAGGCGGUAUAGGUUGGACCCGCGUAUGAUUAGCUAGUUGGUAAGGUAACGGCUUACCAAGGCGACGAUCAGUAGCCGACCUGAGAGGGUGAUCGGCCACAUUGGAACUGAGACACGGUCCAAACUCCUACGGGAGGCAGCAGUGGGGAAUAUUGCACAAUGGGCGAAAGCCUGAUGCAGCAACGCCGCGUGAGUGAUGAAGGCCUUCGGGUCGUAAAACUCUGUCCUCAAGGAAGAUAAUGACGGUACUUGAGGAGGAAGCCCCGGCUAACUACGUGCCAGCCGCCGCAGUAAUAC